ACGCUGGCGGUGUGCUUCACACAUGCAAGUCGAACGAGGUAGCCAAUACCUAGGUGGCGGACGGGUGAGUAACGCGUGGGAAUCUGCCUUUAGAUGGGGGAUAACGGGUCGAAAGACUCGCUAAUACCGCAUAUGACGAAAGUUGAAAGGAGUAAUCCGUCUAAAGAUGAGCCCGCGUCCGAUUAGCUAGUUGGUAGAGUAAAAGCCUACCAAGGCGACGAUCGGUAGCUGGUCUGAGAGGAUGAUCAGCCACAAUGGGACUGAGACACGGCCCAUACUCCUACGGGAGGCAGCAGUGGGGAAUUUUACGCAAUGGGCGAAAGCCUGACGUAGCGACACCGCGUGAGCGAAGAAGCCCCUUGGGGUGUAAAGCUCUGUCAGCUGGAACGAAAAAAAUGACGGUACCAGCAGAGGAAGCAUCGGCUAACUACGUG
rnacentral:rRNA from 1 species